UUUCCGUAGGUGAACCUGCGGAAGGAUCAUUCAUAAUAAAGUGUUUUAUGGCACUUUUUAAAAAUCCAUAUCCCCCUUGUGUGCAAUGUUAGAUCUCGUCAAUCUUGGCGAGAUUUUUAUACAUCAACUCAUUCUUUAACUAAUUUGUCUGAAAAAUAUUAUGAAUACUUAAUUCAAAAUACAACUUUCAACAACGGAUCUCUUGGCUCUC
rnacentral:misc_RNA from 1 species